UACGUAGGGGGCGAGCGUUGUCCGGAUUUACUGGGCGUAAAGAGCGCGUAGGCGGCCCUUUAAGUUGGCUGUGAAAGGUCCCGGCUCAACCGGGAUAGGUCGGCCGAGACUGGGGGGCUUGAGGACGGUAGGGGAAGGUGGAAUUCCGGGUGUAGUGGUGAAAUGCGUAGAGAUCCGGAGGAACACCAGUGGCGAAGGCGGCCUUCUGGGCCGUUUCUGACGCUGAGGCGCGAAAGCGUGGGGAGCGAACUGAAUUAGAUACUCAGGUAGUCCACGCCCUAAACGAUGGACGCUAGGUGUAGGGGGUAUCGACCCCUCCUGUGCCGAAGCUAACGCAUUAAGCGUCCCGCCUGGGGAGUACGGCCGCAAGGCUAAA
rnacentral:rRNA from 1 species